UUAACUCAAAUUUAUAUGGAGUUGGAACGUUUGCCUACGUUUACCGUCAGGGGCGCUUUUCCAACUGCAUACCAAUUUGAGUUA
rfam:Bombyx mori DNA, contig: Bm_scaf249_contig41995, strain: p50T/Dazao, build 2, whole genome shotgun sequence.